rfam:Picea glauca, whole genome shotgun sequence.
ACAUGCCUACAACAUAGCGUUAAUGCACUGUAUCCCAUUAGAACUUCGCAGUUAAGCGCGCUCAGGCUAGAGUAGUACUGGGAUGGGUGGCCAUCCGGGAAGUCCUACUAUUUCACAUGCC